GAAUGAUUCAGACAGUACAUCUUCUGGCGAGUGCUAUCAAAACACAGAGAUCGACAUGGACAACGAUCUCCAGUGUGAAGACGAGGAAAGCCCAUCACUUCCUGAAAAGUCACUACAGACACCCCACAGCGCCCAGAUGACAGGAAACACUGCUGGUUACAGCAGCUCUCAUGUACCUAUCACCCACAGUCAAGAUGGGAAUGAUUCAGACAGUACUUCAUCAGAAGAGUGUUAUCAGAACACAGAGAUGGAUGAAAACGCCUAUCAUCAU